rnacentral:rRNA from 1 species
UACGUAGGGUGCGAGCGUUAAUCGGAAUUACUGGGCGUAAAGCGUGCGUAGGCGGUUCGUUAAGUUCGUUGUGAAAGCCCCGGGCUCAACCUGGGAACUGCAUUUGUGACUGCAUGGCUGGAGUGCGGCAGAGGGGGAUGGAAUUCCGCGUGUAGCAGUGAAAUGCGUAGAUAUGCGGAGGAACACCGAUGGCGAAGGCAAUCCCCUGGGCCUGCACUGACGCUCAUGCACGAAAGCGUGGGGAGCGAA